rnacentral:lncRNA from 1 species
GCUGGAAUUGGGACACUAUGGACGCAUCCCGGCUUCAGAGGCGUCGAGGUGUGACCACCUGCGCAGUGUGGCCUCAGAGAAGCCCAGGAUCCUGCAAGACCGAUGGGAACCCACAGCGCCCGGGAAGGAGCCGGGUGGGGACCAGCCUGUGCCUGAACCUACUCGAUGCCUGUCAAGGGGUUUGGCCUCAGGACCCUUCUCGUCAAGAAACGUUCGGCAAAAUGUGGAAGUAGAGAAAUGUGUGCGGAAUCGAGUCAACCAGACCUGCUGACUCUGCCUGUCCCCAGCAGCCUUAAGACCCUGCCCUGGGACUGGAGCGCCCUUUGCCAAAUGGAGGUUUUUGUCCCUCUACCUGAUGAGCGACGUGAGGUGCUCCUGAGAGUGCAGACACCGGCGCCAGGGCGGCCGGUCCACACGCUCCUGCUCAUCCCGGCGGCAGGCCUUCCUUCCGUGGUGCUGGGGGCCACGCUGGAAUGAGGUCAGUUCACUUAUAUUUUAAAUUUAAAUUCAAUUAACAUACAAUGUAUUACUGGUUUCAGAGGUAGAGGUCAGUGAUCCAUCGUCUUGUAUCACACCCAGUGCUCAUCCCAUCACGUGCCCUUCUUCAUGCCCAUCCCCCAGUCACCCAUUCCCCAGUCACCCAUUCCCCAGUCACCCCAUUCCCCGACACCCCCCCAGGGACCCUGUUUGUGUUAUGUGAUUAAGAGUCUCUUAUGGUUUGUCUCCCUCUCUGCUCUCGUCUUUUUAUUUUUCCCUCCCUUCCUCCGUGUUCAUCUGUUUGUCUCUUAAAUUGCACAGGAGUGAGGUCAUCUAAUUGUCUUUCUCUGACUUAUUUCCCGCAGCGUGACCCACCCACGUCGACCUACGUGGUAGGCCCUCGCCCGUCCUGACGGCUAAUACUCCAUGUACAUAUACAGCCCCCCUCAGAGUAUGGACUUAGGUCGUUUAAACAGUAUUGGUUAGAAGGGAUUGAAAACGCAGGCCCAGGGAGUAGUAAGCAAACGAUUCCCGGGGAGAUUCACGGUGGGAGCAUUUGGAUCUAGCGACGGCCUGGUGACGACCACCUGCUGGCCCAGGCCACGGGGCCUCACACACGGAGUGUCCCACUGAGAGAUGAGAAUCCUGCAGCCCGUCCUGGGCCGAGGCCCCAGGCGUUUUGCAGAAGCAAGGUUCUCCGCCUCGUGCUGGGACCUCGAGGUUGAGCUUCCUCGAGUCUCUGGCUCGUCUUCGUCCCGCCCAGGAUGGAGGCUGGCGGCAGGGCUGGCGGUGGUCCUGGUCCCCCGGGUGCGGCGGCGGCAGCGGCGUCCCUAACGCUGUCCGGCUUCGCUGUGGGAAGGAAACACCGCCAGGGAGCGGGGCCAACGGCCCAGGCUGCGGUGCUAGAGCCCGUGAGGACCCCUCAGCCGGGAGGGCCACCGGGUCCCUCCUGUGACACAAGCUGGUGCUAGAGCCCCGUUCCAGCUCUGCUCUCCCGGAUACUAACGCUUUGCUUUGUGUUCAGCUUGGGCUGCAAGCGGGCCCGAGAGGAAGAGCAACUCAAGGGCCGGUCAGAGGCAGGUUCGCUCACCCAGGCCCCCGGGGCCGCCCCACCCACAUUCCCACACACUUAUUUCACGGGGUCACUUCUUCUGGUGACGAAGCACCAUCACUAUUGGGAACCCAGGCUCUGACGAGGACGGUCGCCAUGGGGACCAUUGGAAGGAGAACGUCCCGUGCUCGCCCGUCUGCGAAACGUCAGGCACCUGUGUCACUCUCCCACCUCGCGGGGGGGCACGCGGGAGGUGCCAGGCCGGGGCCUGGACGUGGCGAUGCUGGGGGGAGGCAGGUGGCGCAGGCGGCCCCCACUUGUGGAUCCGCGGGCUCUCGCCUGGCCCGCUCCUCCGCUCGCUCUUUAUCUCCAAUUAUAAAGCAGCGCCAGGUUUUGUAGUCAGCCACCACCAUGUCUCCAAAUGGCUUUUCAGUGUCAGGCCUAUCAGGAAAUUAACUCAUCACACAGUGACAGCUGCUAAUUUUUUCCCCUUACAUGUCAGAUGGAUCGCCCGCUGAAGCUAAUAAUGAAUCACCAAUCCCUGAUUAGAAGGUGCUUCCGAAACGUAUAACUGCCAUCUGAGCUAACUUUUUUCUUCAUGUAAAAUGAUAUGGCCCUAGAGGAGUAGAAAGCGAAUUGUAUUCUUCAACAAGAUGGAACAGGAGGAGGUUGCUUAAGUGAGCUGUGUGCUCUCCUCAAUUGUAGGCUAAUGUUUAACAGUGAAAUAAGUGAGAACUUGCGGCUCCUUUCUUAGUUUGCUGAACAGACGACCUCUCUGGUUUUCCUAAUUCUCUUCCUAGAACUAGGUUAGGAUUCCAAGCUGGCCCCUCAGGUCUUUCCUCCUUCCUGCCAUCGUUUUCUGUCUCUGUGCUCCAGAAAACAAAAGAUUUGACAGAACUGACAAAUGUGAAGAAUGUCCAUCGGUCCAAGAAUUUCCUAGAUGCUGGGUUCCCGGGCAGCAGAGCUCUGGUCCCCUAGGGGGUAGGGAGGGGUGCUGGGCCGGAGCUGUGCAGUGUGGCCUGCGUGUGGCCAGGCUGGGGCCUCCGUGGGGUCUUUGCUGUAGUUUAUUCGGUGACCUGCAAAGACCCACUGUCUGUCCACACUUCCAGCUUGAGCUGACGCAAUCUUAACACAUUCACUUGCAUCUUCGAAGUAAACCAAAUAGCAGGAGGGACGUCCUUGGUGUCUCCCAGGUGAUGUGUGUCCUGGGUCAUGGUGGGAGAGGUGUCAACUGUUGGGUGACUCCUGAAGCGUCCCGGGGUGGGGGGUUGCCUACUUGGGCCACAGUGUCUCAUGACAGUGACAGUUGGUGGCUAAAACUCUCUCUCUCCAUCCUCUGUGGACAGGCUGCUGGCUUGAACGGUGGUCCCUAAACUCUAUGUCCACGUGGACAGUGGGCCCUGCUGCGUGCUGGGUGUCCUUGGGGAUCUGUCAUUUAAUGGGCUGUGGCUUAACACAAAGAGUGGCCUUCCUGGAUUAGAGACUCGAGACUCUAAUUUUUCUUUUCUUUUUUUUUUUUUUUACCUCUUUAAAGUGUCCCUUUCUCCUCUAGCUAAAACCCCAAGGAAGGCUGUGAGCUUGUCUGUGUCUCUCUCACAGUCACUCCCUGCUGCAGGAAGUGUGGCCGGGUCGUGGAGUCGGCCACGCCUCGUUAUUCCGAGGCCCACGUUUGUGUACGUGCUUCUUUGACUCCCUUACAUUCUGAUAGUUGUGUAAUGAGAGAGAAAAGAGAGGGAACAUGAACCCAGCUCUAUGGGUAAUUACAGGAUACACUAGCUUGGUGAAUCCUUUGCAAGCCUUCUGAGCCUCGAAACACCUUCUGUACAAUUUUUUUAUGCAAAGGCCUGCUCUUUUCAUUGUGCGUACAACGUGAUUGCUGGUUUGACACUGCAGGCUACACUGGUUUUAUGAAGGAUUAAAUGCCACCUGAGACAUAUUUAUCCUAAAUAAAUCACAAACGGUAAACUGCAGCAUGUCGGUGUCAACAGCCUGGGCAGAAAGGUUAGCCAUACAGGACGGAGCACCGUUAGGAAUUAGCAUCUGAGCCAAGGGCCGUGGACAGCAGCUAACGGGGGGAAUGAUCAGAAAGAAAUAUUUCCGCCAGAAAACAUCUUCCCCCUCCUCUCUCUCGCUCUCCAACAUGUAUGAGAAGCUUGGAGAGGGGCAUCACUUUAUAAAGGUCACCUUUAUCCUGAUAACAAACAGGAGUUGAUCCUGUCACUGUUUGCUGAAGACAAGUUGUUUAAAGAGAAGUGAACUGCCCUGCCAUUUUUAAGAAACAUGAGCAAGUUAUACUCAGCUAAUUAUGAAUCUCAGUGUCAAACGUGAAAUUUUACCUUCCAUUUUUUGGGGGGUCGGGGGCGAGGGACAGCUUGUGUCAAGGGGGGUGGUCCUGGGACGGCCAGACGCCAAGCCACGACGAGGGCGAGGCUGCGAGAAGGGCUGGGCUCCCCUUCACAGCUGGCGCCCUCCCACCCCUGCUCUCGGGAGGGGAUCUUAGAUGGCGCAUUAGUGUAAACUUUUAAAAAGGGACUA